UGCAAGUCUUGUCUCUCAAGGAUAAAGCCUUAUCUUGGUAUCCUUCAAAAUGGCAAGAUGUUCAUUCUCACCACAUACAAUUGCAUUGUCCACUGUGCCCUGCCAUGAUUUUCACAUUUCACUCAAUACCCAUGGUCUGCAUCAAUCUGGAAUCAUGCAUUCUGCCAUCUGCCCCUUUCCUUGAAAGUCCUGCUGGCUGCAAAACAGCUGAGAUUUACUAAUGGGUUAAUAUGUUACUUCGCCCCUAAUUAAAGCUAUUGGUAUUUAACAGGAACUUGGCCUAGAUAAGGGGUGACUCAACUCUAGAGAAUUUCUGAGUGGCUGGUGGACUGAUGGGAUGAUAUUUUGGGUCUGGAACAGUUUUCAAUGCCUGGUAAGUGGCUGACAAGUUUAUCUGUGUCUGAGAGAUAGCAUACGAGAUUCCUGUAAACAUGCGUCCAUGCACUCGCUCACAAAUGUACCAGGGCCCUGCAAUCCUGUGAACGCCAGGUUCCUAAGAACAGUAGUAAGGCUCACCUACCUUUGUUCCUCAGGGAGCCAAUGAGGGCCCAGCCAUUGCGCAAGUCUGGAUUCGUAGGAGAUCACCUUUUAUUCCAAAUCACAUCCUAGUUUUUGUCUUGGUCUGAAUGGAAACAUUAGGGGAAACACAGAGGAAAAUCAGAAAGGAAUCUCCAGCAACUAGUGGGAAUAUUAAUAUUUUAAGAUCCCAUCUCUACCUUUAAUGGAUCAUGCAUUUAUAAGGCUGGACAGGAAUUUAAGGGGCCACCUUGGGAAAAAGAACUGAACGUGUGCUGAGCAGCUACCAUGAGCUGGGGCUCUUUCACCUGCUCUCUGGGUGAACUCCCAGCCCUCAAGUCUUUGGACUUGGACAAUCUGUAGCUGGAAAGAAACACAACCACAGUCCAACCCAUUCUUCAGUUAUAUUCAAGAGGCCAAGCAAGGUGAAAUCAUUUACCCACGUUUCUAUACCUUCUUUGCUGGUGCUAAGUGGGGAUGGAGAGUGAAACCAAAAACUAAAGCCAUGAUAAGAACAAUAAAGACAAACUGUUCCUCUGAAAGAACAAACGUUUUUGUAAUCGCAGACACAUUUCUUUAGCUGCUGUAUAAGCCAAAUACUGUUUUUCCUCUCAAUAGACAUUUGACAGUUGUUCUUACAUAGAUGUCCAUGCAUGUUGUUUCGUCAAAUAUCCACAUAGAAUCUGCCACAGCGCUGUGUUCCCACACCCCAACACACACAGUCCAGUGUGUUUGGUAUUAGAAUUCUUCGAACUGUGGGCUAAGGACAUUGUUUGGAAUGAUUUGGAUUCCAAUCGGUGUUCUGCCCACUGGACGAGACUGCUCUGAGACAGUGUGGGAGGUGAGCCCAAUAUCAGACAGUGAGAAAGCCACUCACGUCUGGCCUCUGCUUGGUGAGCUAGAGGAAGCUGCGUAAGUGAGUGGGAAGAAAUAAUGAAUUGCUUGCAGGAAAGUAUGUGAGAAUCCACUGAACAAGAGGCGGUGCUAAUCAACACAGGGACUCUGACACUGUUUUAAAACAGAUGCUUCCAGACUCCGAGAGGAAGGAGGGAGGACAGAAUGUCUUAAAUUUCUUUCGAGCCCUUCUGUUUUCUAAACAAUGAAAUAAAAUAAAAAAAAAAAAGAAUGUGGGUAAAAUAGCUUCCACCCACAUGAUACCAUAGACAUAGCAAUACUAUAUUUCCUAGUGUUAUUUUGGAUUAAUA
rnacentral:lncRNA from 10 species